CAAUAGCGUAUAUUAAAGUUGUUGCAGUUAAAAAGCUCGUAGUUGGAUUUCUGAUCGAGACAUCAGGUCGGGUCCGAGAGGAUCAUGUACUUUGAUUUUGUUUUGAUCAUCCUUGGGGAGAGCAUUUCUGGCAUUCAGUUGUCGGGAUUGGGAUCCUCAUCGUUUACUGUGAAAAAAUUAGAGUGUUCAUAGCAGGCCUCGGCCUCUGAAUACAUUAGCAUGGAAUAAUAAGAUAGGACUUUGGUGGUCUAUUUUGUUGGUUUGCACGCCAAAGUAAUGAUUAAUAGGGAUAGUUGGGGGUAUUCGUAUUCAAUUGUCAGAGGUGAAAUUCUUGGAUUUAUGGAAGACGAACUACUGCGAAAGCAUUUACCAAGGAUGUUUUCAUUAA
rnacentral:rRNA from 1 species